UGGGGAAUUUUGGACAAUGGGGGCAACCCUGAUCCAGCCAUGCCGCGUGAGUGAAGAAGGCCUUCGGGUUGUAAAGCUCUUUCGGCGGGGACGAAACGGUCCGUGACAACACCACGGACUAAUGACAGUACUCGCAGAAGAAGCACCGGCUAACUACGUGCCAGCAGCCGCGGUAAUACGUAGGGUGCAGGCGUUAAUCGGAAUUACUGGGCGUAAAGCGUGCGCAGGCGGCUCCUUAAGUCAGAUGUGAAAUCCCCGGGCUUAACCUGGGAACUGCGUUUGAAACUGAGGGGCUAGAGUGUGGAAGAGGGGGGUGGAAUUCCAGGUGUAGCAGUGAAAUGCGUAGAGAUCUGGAGGAACACCUGUGGCGAAGGCGGCUACCUGGUUGGAUACUGACGCUGAGACGCGAAAGCGUGGGGAGCAACCAGGAUUAGAUACCCACGUAGUCCCUGAGCGGGCUGGCAAGGCGCAU
rnacentral:rRNA from 1 species